AAUCACUAUUUAAUAAUAGGGACGACUCAAUAAAAGAUCCUGACUACAACCCUCAUAAAAUGCAUAGUGGAAUUUGUGAUAUCAAGAAAGUGAAUAAUUUUCUAGGUAAAACGGAUUCGACUAGAUUGAAUAAUGGUGAUUACUCAACAAGAGAUUCCUACUAUGAUACACAUAAAGAUAUGGAAUAUCAAGUAAAUGAGAAUCAACCUACAGUGGAUAUCUUUCAAUUAGCAAAUAUGUCACAGCCAGUAGAUAUUGACUACAAAGAACUGAAUGUUUCCUAUGCGC